rnacentral:rRNA from 1 species
AUUGAACGCUGGCGGCAGGCUUAACACAUGCAAGUCGAGCGAGUGGCGGACGGGUGAGUAAUGUCUGGGAAACUGCCUGAUGGAGGGGGAUAACUACUGGAAACGGUAGCUAAUACCGCAUACCAUCGGAUGUGCCCAGAUGGGAUUAGCUAGUAGGUGGGGUAAAGGCUCACCUAGGCGACGAUCCCUAGCUGGUCUGAGAGGAUGACCAGCCAGACUGGAACUGAGAAAAGGGCCAGACGCCUACGGGAGGAAGCAGUGGGGAAUAUUGCACAAUGGGCGCAAGUCUGAUGCAGCCAUGCCGCGUGUAUGAAGAAGGCCUUCGGGUUGUAAAGGACUUUCAGCGGGGAGGCGUUACCCGCAGAAGAAGCACCGGCUAACUCCGUGCCAGCAGCCGCGGUAAUAC